AAUGACGCUGCAACAGGAUU
rnacentral:misc_RNA from 1 species